AUUGAACGCUGGCGGCAGGCCUAACGCAUGCAAGUCGAACGGUAGCACAGAGGAGCUUGCUCCUUGGGUGACGAGUGGCGGACGGGUGAGUAAUGUCUGGGAAACUGCCCGAUGGAGGGGGAUAACUACUGGAAACGGUAGCUAAUACCGCAUAACGUCGCAAGACCAAAGAGGGGGACCUUCGGGCCUCUUGCCAUCGGAUGUGCCCAGAUGGGAUUAGCUAGUAGGUGGGGUAACGGCUCACCUAGGCGACGAUCCCUAGCUGGUCUGAGAGGAUGACCAGCCACACUGGAACUGAGACACGGUCCAGACUCGUACGGGAGGCAGCAGUGGGGAAUAUUGCACAAUGGGCGCAAGCCUGAUGCAGACAUGCCGCGUGUAUGAAGAAGGCCUUCGGGUUGUAAAGUACUUUCAGCGAGGAGGAAGGCGUUGUGGUUAAUAACCGCAGCGAUUGACGUUACUCGCAGAAGAAGCACCGGCUAACUCCGUGCCAGCCGCCGCAGUAA
rnacentral:rRNA from 1 species